rnacentral:misc_RNA from 1 species
AAGCGGGCCAGGGACUCCC